GACGAACGCUGGCGGCGUGCUUAACACAUGCAAGUCGAACGGAAAGGCUCCAGCUUGCUGGAGUACUCGAGUGGCGAACGGGUGAGUAACACGUGGGUAAUCUGCCCUGCACUCUGGGAUAAGCCUGGGAAACUGGGUCUAAUACUGGAUAUGACCUUUCUCCUUAUGGGGUUUGGUGGAAAGUUUUUCGGUGUAGGAUGAGCCCGCGGCCUAUCAGCUUGUUGGUGGGGUGAUGGCCUACCAAGGCGACGACGGGUAGCCGGCCUGAGAGGGUGAUCGGCCACAUUGGGACUGCGAUACGGACCAGAAUCCUACGGGAGGCAGCAGUGGGGAAUAUUGCACAAUGGGCGGAAGCCUGAUGCAGCGACGCCGCGUGAGGGAUGACGGCCUUCGGGUUGUAAACCUCUUUCAGCAGGGACGAAGCGUAAGUGACGGUACCUGCAGAAGAAGCACCGGCUAACUAUGUG
rnacentral:rRNA from 1 species